rnacentral:rRNA from 1 species
GCAGUCGAACGAACUUCCGUUAAUUGAUUAUGACGUGCUUGCACUGAAUGAGAUUUUAACACGAAGUGAGUGGCGGACGGGUGAGUAACACGUGGGUAACCUGCCCAGAAGCAGGGGAUAACACCUGGAAACAGAUGCUAAUACCGUAUAACAGAGAAAACCGCCUGGUUUUCUUUUAAAAGAUGGCUCUGCUAUCACUUCUGGAUGGACCCGCGGCGCAUUAGCUAGUUGGUGAGGUAACGGCUCACCAAGGCGAUGAUGCGUAGCCGACCUGAGAGGGUAAUCGGCCACAUUGGGACUGAGACACGGCCCAGACUCCUACGGGAGGCAGCAGUAGGGAAUCUUCCACAAUGGACGCAAGUCUGAUGGAGCAACGCCGCGUGAGUGAAGAAGGGUUUCGGCUCGUAAAGCUCUGUUGUUAAAGAAGAACGUGGGUGAGAGUAACUGUUCACCCAGUGACGGUAUUUAACCAGAAAGCCACGGCUAACUACGUGCCAGCAGCCGCGGUAAUACGUAGGUGGCAAGCGUUAUCCGGAUUUAUUGGGCGUAAAGCGAGCGCAGGCGGUCUUUUAAGUCUAAUGUGAAAGCCUUCGGCUCAACCGAAGAAGUGCAUUGGAAACUGGGAGACUUGAGUGCAGAAGAGGACAGUGGAACUCCAUGUGUAGCGGUGAAAUGCGUAGAUAUAUGGAAGAACACCAGUGGCGAAGGCGGCUGUCUGGUCUGUAACUGACGCUGAGGCUCGAAAGCAUGGGUAGCGAACAGGAUUAGAUACCCUGGUAGUCCAUGCCGUAAACGAUGAUUACUAAGUGUUGGAGGGUUUCCGCCCUUCAGUGCUGCAGCUAACGCAUUAAGUAAUCCGCCUGGGGAGUACGACCGCAAGGUUGAAACUCAAAAGAAUUGACGGGGGCCCGCACAAGCGGUGGAGCAUGUGGUUUAAUUCGAAGCUACGCGAAGAACCUUACCAGGUCUUGACAUCUUCUGCCAACCUAAGAGAUUAGGCGUUCCCUUCGGGGACAGAAUGACAGGUGGUGCAUGGUUGUCGUCAGCUCGUGUCGUGAGAUGUUGGGUUAAGUCCCGCAACGAGCGCAACCCUUAUUACUAGUUGCCAGCAUUCAGUUGGGCACUCUAGUGAGACUGCCGGUGACAAACCGGAGGAAGGUGGGGACGACGUCAAAUCAUCAUGCCCCUUAUGACCUGGGCUACACACGUGCUACAAUGGAUGGUACAACGAGUCGCGAAACCGCGAGGUUUAGCUAAUCUCUUAAAACCAUUCUCAGUUCGGACUGUAGGCUGCAACUCGCCUACACGAAGUCGGAAUCGCUAGUAAUCGCGGAUCAGCAUGCCGCGGUGAAUACGUUCCCGGGCCUUGUACACACCGCCCGUCACACCAUGAGAGUUUGUAACACCCAAAGCCGGUGGGGUA